rnacentral:rRNA from 1 species
AGAGACGCUGGCGCGUGGAUUAGGCAUGCAAGUCGGACGUAGGGCUUUAUCGUAAGAUAGAGUUUGAGAGUGGCGAACGGGUGAGUAACACGUAGGAAUCUACCCUUAAGACGGGACAACCCAGGGAAACUUGGGCUAAUACCGGAUGAGAGUGCGAGAGAUUGCAUUUAAAAGGAUGGCGAAAGUUGUCGCUUAGGGAUGAGCCUGCGGUCUAUUAGUUAGUUGGUGAGGUAAGAGCUCACCAAGGCGAUGAUAGAUAGGCGGCCUUAACGGGUGGUCGCCCACACUGGGAUUGAGAUACGGCCCAGACUCCUACGGGAGGCAGCAGUCGAGAAUAGUCUACAAUGGCCGGAAGGCUGAUAGUGCGACGCCGCGUGAACGAGGGAGCCCUUCGGGGUGUAAAGUUCUUUUCUAUACGAGCAGUGCUAUAUAUAUGGAUAGUAUAUAUAGAGGGAUAGUAGUAUAGGAAUAAGCAACGGCUAACUCCGUG